UCAACAAUAAUCGAUGCGGCGAUGCAUCCCGAUGCGGGCCAUGGACGAUGCGAUUCGAUGCGGGCAACAAGCCGAAUCGAUUCAGCACAUAUUAAAAUAUAUAAGUCCGUUCAAAAAUCUUCCAGUGAUGCAAUGGAUUUGGUUUCACCAUUUGUAUUAUUAUUCUCAUGUUUACCUGUAGAGGGAGCUAUUGUACAAGCAAUGCAGGGGGGAUGAGGAACUAAAAUUGGCUUCCUCACGGGAGUAACGUCACAGACAUGCGCAAUUGCGCAGUGGCACUUAAAGCAGAGAUAAGACAUAAUAACAAUGGCUAAAGCGGAGAAAGAGGAAGCGCGAAAGAUUAUUGACGCACCAAAGACAUUGAAAGCAGGCAUAUGGAGACAUUUUGGCUUCUAUGAGUGGCCCAGACCUAAACCCACUAGAAAAUCUUUGGAGGAAGCUCAAGAUCUGUUUGGAGCAGCGGUGUAAAAUCCCUUCUGCAGUCUCUGCAAACCUGAUGAAAAGUUACAGGAAAGACUGUCUCUCACAGUGGACAAGCACCGACCAUGAAGAUUUCAAACCUGCACAUCAUUUCUAAGUGGGAGAACUUGCAAAAUCACAAGUUGUUCAAAUACAUUUUGUCCUCACUUUAAAGCAACACUUGGUAACUUUUCAGUUUUGGUCGAUUUUAGCGACAACUUGGGGAAAAAAGGUAGUGUUUUGCCUUAAGGAAGACUUCGUUUCCCAUGAGGACCAGCGCUGCGUUUCCCAUGAGGACCAUCGCACACCCGCACAGUGUUGUAAAAUCAUAAAUCAAUCAAAAAUCUCCCAGUCGCCUGCAGAUGGAUUAAACAUUUCUGUUUCCAGCGGCUGUGUGAAGGAUCAAUAGUGUUACCAAUUUGCCCUUAUUGGUAAUUGGCAGUGCUUUCAACUCCUCACCGUAGCGAAGAGUGGACCGGCGAUUCACGUUGGCUUGUUAUCGUCGGUUGGCUUAGUUCGUCCGAUUUCCUCCUAUGGAUGGUGGCGGCAUGCAUAUAAACACCGAGAGGCGUCGGAUUGCUUUUUGUGGGUACUUUUAUUAACAAAACGAAAACAUGUGGGGGACAGCACUUGAGUCUGCGCUAACUGCGCACUUUCUCUACUCUCGACUCUCUCACUCCCUCUCGCUCAACCACUUUCUUCCUCACUGCUUUAUACUGACAAUGCCGGUAAUAAUAAUAGUAAUAGCGGCCCCUUGGGGGUGCCGGUAACAAUAGUAAUGAGGUAAUGAAUCCAGUUGUGGCUAUACAAUAGCAUAUGAUGGUUAGCAACCGUGUGGCUUAGUGUGGCUAAACACCCCACUCAAAUUCGUCAGCACUGACGAGUUCGAUUGAGGGGGGAGUUGGGUGUCACACCACCGAUUAAAAGCCGGGCCAAUGUUUAUUCUGCAUAUAUGGUAGCUUCCCUUUUUUCCUCCACAGACAAACUUUUUGUCUCUUUUGUUGUUCUGCCACCUUUGCAGAAUUUGCGUGAAAGUGUUCACAUCGACUUCCGUCUUUAUAAUGAAUGGGGAAGUGACGUAUGCCGCAAAGCUGUCAGCACAUUUGUAGUUUUUUUGUGAGGCAGGGUUCCUGCCAUCCUCCUCAAAGUUAAUUUGUGCCGGUGAAAGCGAUACUGACACCCUCAAGAUAUAAAAUAGGUGUCAUUCAACAAGUCGUUAGUCGAAAUAUAAUCACAAAUGUUAUGAAAAUAUUUUAUAAAGGUUGAAAAGUUACCUCAUGUUGCUUUAAGUAGUAGUAAUGAUAUAUUCCCUGUCAAUAAUUACGGGUUAGGUUACAUAUUUAAUAAUGCAAAUAAUUUUGGCAUUUUUUGUCCUUCAACGUAAUCCUGGUUUUCUACAAUAGGAGGCGGUAUACGCCUGCGCAGUAGGCUUGGCAGUUGUAGUUCAUCCACAGAAAUCAUAUAGAGAGUGAGAUGCGUAAUGCGCGCUAUGAGUCAAACAGGGCGCCGUUAAGACUUAUCGCCCAUUUUUGACCAUUCAGUGAUAACAAACUAGCGGACCAGAAUGAUUUUUCCCCCCACUAUGAACUUGGUGAAAUCUGAAAUGCAUUUUCAAACGGUUUGGAUUCUAACAAACCAUAUUAACUUUUUCUAUGAUUCACUCAGGACCUUUUUAAAAAAAAAAAAAAAAAAAUUAAGUAUGCUGUUAAUUUACUGCAAAACUGCCGUUUGAAAAUCGGUUGGAAAUUGAGCAAUUAUUAGCUAUUUCAAAGUACACGCUCCAUUAACUGUAGUGUUGUGUUCGUCGAAUGGUACUGACAUAAAAUGGCCGACAAGUGAUAACGGCUGUCCCGAUAGGCUCAUAGCGCUCUAUAACAUCUAGCGUUCAUGGUAUAUGAUGUCUAAGGUUCAGUGCAUUCCAUACGCAUUCUUUUUAAAUUAAAAAAAAAAUCCCUUCAUGAGCGUUAAAUUUGUAGGUCAAUUCCAGCCAUAUUGGACGUGGAAAAGUGGCGCAAUAACCCUGAGCAGUGAUUUUGAAACUACAGUAUUUGCCAAUUUGGCCAUAAAUACCCUUACUGAGCCUCAAAGAUUUUGACACUAGUGUGCCUUAUCACCCAACCCUUUGCCUGGGACUCAGUCAAAAUCUUUAAAAAUAAGAUAAUAAUAAUAAUUUUUUUAAAAAAACAAAAAAAAUAGAAAUAAUACUACUUAUAUACAGCAUUCCCAGAUAGCAGACAGACGUUGAAAUGAUGUUGAAUCAACAUUCCGCUGUCAAUCUCAUACCAUUGAAUCAACGCUGACACCUGACAUUGAUUUGUCAUCACUUUUGCACCCUCGGUUAAUGUUGUUCCUCCAAUGUUGAAAUCCUUACAAAACCUACAUUUUAUUUCAAUUAUUAAUAAUAUUGCAACAACGCUGAAUCAAUGUUAUUUUUUCUUUCAUUUUCAACCAUGAUGCUAAUAAUGCUUUCAAAUAUGACCAAAUUUAGAGGUCAUGCUUUAUUUACAGACAGAAGAAACAGCUACGCUGACUAAUAAAGUAUUAUGCAUGAACGAUGAAUAUGGCCAAAUUUAGAGGUCGUGCUUUAUUUACAGACAGAAGAAACAGCUACGCUGACUAAUAAAGUAUUAUACAUGAACGAUUUAAAAAAAAAAAAGCGUUGUUCCAAACUUAAGCCUCCUCCUCAGUCUGAUGAGCUUCGCAGCAAACUUUGCCACAGACGCGGGCCGGGGCAUAGCAUAGCCACUUCAGCACAACAACAGCAAACGCAUAUUGUGACACGUUCGUCCCUAUCUGCCUCUUCAGUGAAUCUGAAAAAUACAAACAAAACAGCAUUCACAGUUAAUUCAUAUCAAGGAAUUCAAGCAGGUAUCAUGGGUUAGUUUAAAAACUUACUUCGGUAUUUUGUGGUGAAGCGAGUUUCUCAACCAAUCUCAAACCAAAUUAGGGCUACAUAUGGGAAAGGAGCUAGCUAGUUAGCUAGCUACGAUGGAAAACUGACCACACUGUCUUGGUGUUCAAUAAAUUAAUUUAGACAAGGCUCGACUGUGUCAAAUCCAGUGAUUUUGGCGCUUUAAUCGGAAAAAGAAUUACGUUUGCCUGAACUUGCUACUUAGCUAAGAUCUACGCUAAGUAGGUCUUCGCUUGUAUGCCAAUCACAACAAAUGCACCGUUUCUUACAAUUUCGGCAACUUUGUCACAUUGUGUAAGGCAAACCAUUUUAUAUACAACUUUGAUGACAAACGCGGUUUAUUCUACCGUAAGAUUGCUGAUAAAGGCUCUGAAGAAGAGCAACAAGUUUACCUUUAGAUAUGUAGGGUGACCAAACGUCCUCUUUUGCCCGGACAAGUCCUACUUUCACGUAGUAUCCUCGUUGUCCGGGCGGGUUUUAUAAAUUCAUAAAAAUGUCCGGUUUUUAUGAUUUUUCACGGGACCAAUUUUAAGAGGAUUCCUCCGGCCGCUGGGUGGCAGCGCCUGCAUGCGAUGACAUGGCUCCUAGUAGUAGAGAGGGAAGAAGUAGUUCUUCUUGUUUUUGUUGGCAGUUUACCCCUAUCAUUAGGCAUUACCGCCAUCUACUGGGCUGACGAUUUGGCCACAACGUCUGCCCAAUUGUUCAGUUUUUUACGAUAAAUACAUAUAUAAUGGCAACUGUUGACUUCUGUCGAAGCUUUGACUGUAAAAUCCCGUUUGGUGUCGCAUCGUUGCGCUGCCGAUGAUUGUAAACCUUUAUAGCAAAGUUUGAUUUUUGCCUCAGGUGGCUAUCAGUAAGCUAAACCACACUAGGCAUUAUGGGAAACGUAGUUUUGAACUGCUACAUUUGGAAACAUGCUGGUUGAAUAGUUUGUCAGUUUAUUUCGGUUAUUGUUUGUGUGCAAUCUAGAACAUUGAAUAAGAAUAUCAAUUGAAUGGGAAUAAAAAUUUGUCAAGGGCAAUUGUCGUGAUUGUAAUUUAUAAGCCUACUGUAUGUAUGUGUAUUGACUGGACUACCUUUCCAUGGGUCUGCAUUAUACUAUACUAUAUUUAUAUAUAUAUAUGUAUUAUUUUUUUUGUCAUUAUUUUAUUUUAUUUUUUUCAAACUGCAUUUUUCCAUCCAGAGUGAGGGGGCACACUUUAAAUAUAUUAAAGUGAUAUAGGCAUCUUUGAGUGAACUUCGAGUAAAAUUCAAGUAUCUUGAGGCCGGGCUGAGUGUCCUCUUUUUUGGAAAUCAAAAUAUGGUCACCCUAAGAUAUGGCUUUCCUUAAAUGAGAAGUUUCCAGUGGAGUUCACUUGAGGUGAUACGCGGUCUUCCCGCUCAACCACAAUCACAACUAUUUUUUUAACCAUAACUCCCGCUCAUCCGUAAUUCGAUGACUUUUCAAUUAUAUUUCCCGGUCAAUCAAAAAUCAACUAUUGUUCAACUUAUUUCAUCAACUAUAAAACAAUGUUAACCCAACCAUCGCCUGACACACCAGAGAACAAUGUUGUUUCAACGUCACUGUCAGGUGUCAUCGGGAUUUGCAAUGUUGAUUCAACAUUGUUUGUUAUCGAAUAUUUCAAUGUCAACCAUACUGAUGAUUUUGAUGGAAAAUCAACGUUUAUUCAAUGUCGGUCUGCUAUCUGGGUUACUUCCAUAUAUA